rnacentral:lncRNA from 1 species
AAGGAGCUCCCGAGUGUCUCAAAGGGAAUCGGAUUAAACAAAGCGAAACUGGGGGUAACCGUGUCGGUUACCGAGCAUUGCAGAGUGUUCUUAAAAUUUGAUUGCCGCCUGGCGCAAGGCGCGCUGGUCCCCGAGGUGGAAAAUGGGGUUCUGUUCCCAGAAACCUUCUCUCCACCCUCAGGUCACUUCUCCUCUGCUUCCCCAGUGGGCAUCACAGAGAUCACAGCUGCCCCUGGGCCAGGGGAUCAGCGGCCUGCUUGGCACCAUCACCUAGAUGGCCCCUAGACACCCCAAGCUUCAGGGGGCCUGAGGCGAGCUCCUGGUCAUCCCCCAAAGCCGAUCCUCCUAAGCUGGGCCACCUCCGUUCAUGGUGGCUCCAUCCUGCGAAUUGCCCAGGCUGAAUUCCCUGCAGGUUUUCUGGAUUCUUCUUUCUCGCUCACACCCCACAUCCAGAGAAGCGGACGGUACUGUUGUCUCCACCUUCAAAAAAUGCAUCCUCACUCCCAGCCUUCUGUCUUCCCCCACUGCUACCCCCUGGGCCCAGCCCCCGGGGCCUCUCCCCACCCCCGGAUUAUUCUAGAAGCUACCUAAUAGAAAGUUGCUCUGUUUCCUACCUCCCUCAUCCUCCCCUCCCCCACCCCAGUAUAGUCUCUGUUCUCUGAGCACCUGCAGUGGCUCCUCAUUUCACUCAGUAAAACUGACGUGCUUCCAGGGGCCUAGCAGACACGAAUCGGGAUGAUGUUGUCUGCCCUCUUGCCUGGGCUUGCUCUCCUCCAGGCCUCCUGACUCUUCCUCAGCGCACCAGACACACGCCUCCUUAGGGCCUUUGCACUGGCUGCUCCCUCGCUUGGAAUUCACUUUCCCAGACAUCCACUGGGCUGGCUCCCUCAUUUCCUUUCAUCUUGACACCAAUGUCACCUGGCCAACCUAUGUAACAAUUCAAAGCCCCACACCCAUCGCUGGCACUUCCUCUGGCCUUCCUGCUUUGUUUUCUCUUUAGCUCUUGCCACUAGCCGGCCUCGUCUAUAGGUUAGCUCCCGCGAGGGCCGCCGGCAGGCAGCCCCUGUUUGGCUCACUGCUGUCUUCCUGCCUCCUGGCACAGUACCUGGCAGGGAGUGUCUGCUCCAUGAACGUUAGUGGGAUUCUAUUUUCCUGGAACUUUUCGGGAAACUCUGGGGGCCGUGGGAUUGUAUGCUGGGGGAGGGGCCCAUAGCGGUCAUUACCUGCGAAGGAGGUUUGAGACCUCCUUAGGAAGGCUGCAGGCCACGCGACGUGGUGUGUGUUCGCACCGUGAAGCCGGUCUCGGCUCAUGUCCCCAAGGGGCACUCGGGCCCAGUUAGGGGGUGGUUCUUCCAGGUACUGUUGGGAGCCGAGGUCCCCUUGGUUGUCACCUUGGCUACUCUGGUGUUGAUGGGGAGGUGGGAGAGGGGGCGGAGGCGGCGAGGGCUGCCCACUGAGUAGACCCGCUACGAGACCCUUGUGCCCCAGCUGUGGACCAAGUCUGGAGCUGACAGCUCCUCCAUUCAUCAAGGGGUCCCUACCAUGUGCUUUACCUGCGGGAGUCCACGUACCCAAAGAGCUGUAAGCCAUGGUCACCUCCGUGUUCUUGAUGAGAAAUGAGGGCUCGGAGAGGUGAAGGGACCGGUCCCUGGUCACGCCGCUGGAGAGGGGCAGAGCACUGAGCAGGUGGGCCUCGAAGCUCCAGCUGCUUCCACCCGCCAUGUGGCCGCUCACGGUUAGCAUGUGCAGCCCGGGCCAGUGGAUCCAGGCGAGGACAGGAAUCCCACAAGUUCUCCAGGGGCUGUCCUUGUCCCGGAGGACUCUCCUGGCCCUGUUGCUGAGACGCUGCCAAGCAGAGGGCUGUGGGCUUGGGCAACGGGGCCCCGUGCCAAGGCCAGGGUGGGCCCUGCCUUUGGUCUGGCCCAAACCUGGUACUCCAGAGAUUUGAAAACCAUCAGCAGCCCUCUGUCCUGUGAACAUAUACUAAGUUUUCCCAAGUUUGGGUGACAAAUGCUAGGGGCUUCCCUGGGCAGCCUCUGAAAUUCUGUGUGUGGCCUACACAGGUAGAGGUCCAUGGAGAAUAGGCAUGCUGGCUGCAGGUAAGAAACACAGCCAGUUGAUUGCUACUCCCUCACUCCAAAGCCUGCCGUGGCUCCCUACUGCCGAUAGCACUAAAUCCCAGCUCCUCAGCCUGGCAUUCCCUAGGUGGGCCCCAGCCUCCAUGCCCACAUUCAUCUUCCAGUGUUUGCAUACAUGCUUCUCCCCCCCACCCCCCGCACGGCCGGACUGUUGACUGGACACCAGGCACUUCCUGGUUCUUCCCACCUCAAUACCUUUGCUCAGGUAUUUCCCCUGCCUUGACGGCCAGCUCCCUUGUCAGAAUCCCACCUGGCCUCCAGGGCUCAUCUCAGGCUGGCCUAGGUGGCACCACAGCGCAGCCUGGGGGCCCUCGGUCUCUGCCUCUGCAGCCACGACCCUGUCUGUAUCUUUGACUCUGCAGCCUCUUGCCCUUGGCUCCUCCUGACCCACUGUUUUACCGGAGACCUUUGGGGGUUCCCCAGGGCCAUCGGAACUCACGGCUGACCCACGCCUGGGGCAAAGGAGGGUUCAGGGAGCCCUCUGAAUGACAGAGUCCAGAACCAGAGGGAAGAAUUAGGGUGCCGCAGGUGGCGGGGCCCAGCGCCGGGCCUGACCUUGCCUCUCCCCACCCCCGGGCUGCUGCGCAUGUGCAGGGGCUGUUGACUGUGCCCACCUGGAGGUCACGCCCUCCACCUGCUCCCCUGGCACCCUGCAGCUCUGCCCCACCUGGGCAAGGGCCACACCCCAUCGCCCAGGCUCUGAGCCUUCGGGUCCCCAAGCAAUGGCUCAGGGCUUGGUAACUCCUCCUCUGCAUACACUCCUAACCGCGAUGACCAGAGGCCACAACCAGCAGGAACUGGGACAUCCAGAUGCCUGUGGGGAGGCCCAGGGUGGCGACUGCCCCAUGCAAAAGGCAGUUCCACUUGACCUGGGAGGCUGGAGACCCGGCUUUAGAUCCAGGUUCUGCCUCCUGGCUGUGUGUAUAACCUCCUGAGCCUCGGGUGUCUCCUUUGUCAAGUAGGGUUGUGGAAAUAUCUGCCUUAAUGGGGUGCAGUCGAGGCUGCAGCCCCCUGUGCCUGGGACCCCCCUUGGCAGGGCGCCUGGCACAUAGGCCGUUAGCCCUCAGAGAAGAAGCUAUUAUAUGAUUCUUUUUUUUUUUUUUUUUGUCUUUUUGCCAUUUUCUUGGGCCGCUUCUGCGGCAUGUGGAGGUUCCCAGGCUAGGGGUCGAAUCGAAGCUGUAGCCACCAGCCUACACCAGAGCCACAGCCACGUGGGAUCCGAGCCGUGUCUGCAACCUACACCAUAGCUACCGGCCACGCCGGAUCCUUAACCCACUGAGCAAGGCCAGGGAUCAAACCCGCAACCUCAUGGUUCCUACUUGGAUUCGUUAACCACUGAGCCACGACGGGAACUCCCUAUUGUAGGAUUCUUACGCCAACACCCACGAGGACAGGAGGCAGAUGCUGAAUCUUAGCUGUUGAAUUUAAGAGGGAGCAUGUUAGGGUGAAAACUCCUGAAUGAUACUGGGCACACUGUGAGUGUUUUGGUGGCCACAGGUGUCUGUGCCAGGUGAGGGCACUUGCAGAGGACACGUGGCAUUUCGCCCUGCUGGGGUGGAGAACAGCCGCUGGGAAAUCAUUUUGAGUCGAAUUAUUAUUUCGGGGUGAAUUAUUUCUCUUUGCCGUGUUCUUGAUUUGAAUUUUCUCUGGGGCGUUGGUGGUGGUAGGCAUUUUUAAGAGUCACAAUGGAAACAAAUGGGAAAUUGUUAAAAUAUUGAUUGUAAUUUCUGGGAGACUUCACUGAUUUAAAAAAUAGGAACCUUUAAGAAAAAAAGCCCUCAUUAGCAAGCGAGCCGUUAAUUAAAGGGCUGUAGAAUGACUUGCAUCGAUUUCACCAUGAAACCAGAAAGCUGUGGCCACAGGUCAAUUUUCCCCUGCAGCUCCUUGCUUACCACAGAUGCCGCUUCCAGAAUGCCAUAGGUAAGACCAUCAAAGCAGAGAGAGGGAUGGGAAAUGGUUAUUGAAACGGAGAUGGAGAAAUAAUUUAGGGAAUUAACGUAAAUCCAGCUGGCUGCCAGUCUUCCUCUUGCACCGUACAUACAUACAACUGAAAGACAUUGUCAGAGCUUUUAUAUAGAAAAAAGUAUGCAGAUGGCUUUGCUAAUUAUUACUCUUUAUGCAAUGACACCUUUUUCCAACAGCACAGGCACGACUCAGGCCCCACAUCGGGAGAGGCUCCAUCCACUCUUCUCGGAUCCUUCAGACCAUUUGCGAUUUUGUGAUAAAAACACACGCGUGCGCGCGCGCACGCACGCACGUAGGCACGCACACAUGCGCGCACACAACGAAACCCUGACCUGUGGCUGUCCUAGCAACCACCGCUACCGCCAGCAUCAAGCCGGCGUGCUGGCCAGGCAGACGUUGGGAGAAAAACUGGACAAUGGGCUCCCACUGUUCUGGGUUUGGAAAACACGGUCGUCUUAACAAGAAAAGCAGCCAAAACUCUGAGCACACCUACUCGGCACCAGGCCCCGUGCUUCACAUUGUGAGCUCAAGGAAGCCUCCAAAGAGCUCAUUUCAGAGCUGCACACAGAGGCCCAGAGACGUUCGGCAACUGGACUGAGAUCACACAGCUGCUCCCUGGGGAAACCAAGAUUUGAAGGUCCCAGGUCGUCUGGGACUCGGCAGCCUACACGGGAUCCCGUUAAGACCUAGCUGACCAGGGAGUUAAGCCUCACAUGUUCACUUCCCCAGUUCCCAGCUCUUUUCUAAUCGGCCGGCUUGCACCAGCUCAUAAGAUAGGGUUGCUACAUUUUCAGCAAGGCUGUGAAUCUGUCAAUGACUCAGGUAGCUCGGAAUGGGCCAUGGUGGGAGUAGCUUCGCCACAGAAAUGGGCAAAUGCUGCAAAUCAGGGCCGGUUGUUAAACAUUUACCAACACGCCACUGCACGCAGGCGUUAGAGCCAGACGACCCGUGCAGACCCUGGGCCCACCGCUUACCGAGUGGCCCGGGCAAGUUUCCUAGUCUGGACAUUCGAGAGAACGGCAGUGCUCGACUCACCGGCUUGUUGCAAGCUUUAUGUAUAAUAAUCGACAUUAAGCACCCAGCGCAGCAGAAGUGAUGGGCUAGCCUUGGUUGUAAAAAUGUGUCCUGCAACUACUACUAAUUACUAGUAUUAUUAGGGGGCCAUCCCCGUUCUUCUAGAGCCCAGCCACAAGUCCUAAACUUUCUCCCUGCCUCCAGGCUUGUGCCCUCCGCCUCCAAUGCAUCCUCCUCGCAGAGGUGAUGGGGGAAACUUCUAGAAUACACAUAUUACCUCAUUUUUCCUGUGCUCGAAGUAUUUCCAUGGCUCCCUAUUACCCUCAGAGAAAAAUUGCUGCUUCAAACUACCACAACCGCGUAGUCUGCUGGGGCCCACCUAACAAAGUAGCACGGACCGAGGGGGGAGCUUAAACCACAGAAAGGCAAGGACCAACAACUCUGGAAGCUCCAAGGCUGAGGUCAAGUCGUGGGCAGAGAGGGUUUGUCCCGAAGGCUGUGGGGGCAGGUGCUGUUUCAGGCCACUCUCCUUGGAUCGUAGGGUGGCCGUCCUCUCAGUGUCGCUUUGCAUUUUCUUCCUUCGCUGCCCACUCUGUGCCCCCCCAUCUUCAAGGACACCAGCGCCCCUGGAUACCCUCCAGUAAUGUCACCUCCCCUUAAUUAAUUACAUCUGCAGCAAUCCCAGUCCCAAAUAAGGCCACAUUUUGAAGGACUGGCAGUGAGAACUCCAACAAUCCGAAUUUUGAUGGACACACUUCAACCCAUCACCAUCUGCCCUCUGGUCCUCCAGAGUCCCCGUGUCUUUCUCGCAUGCAUGUGAAUACAUUUGCCCUCCUCUCCCAACAUGGCUGGACGUCCAGCCCAAUUCAGCGUCAACUCUCAGCCCCAAACCUCAUUCAGAUGUGUCAUCUACAUCAGGUACAGGGCAGCCUGAGCCAAAAUUCUGCUCCAUUUGUGAAUUUGUGAAACAGAACAAGUUACCUGCUUC